GAUGAACGCUGGCGGCGUGCUUAACACAUGCAAGUCGAACGGUGAAGGCGGAGCUUGCUCUGCUGGAUCAGUGGCGAACGGGUGAGUAACACGUGAGCAAUCUGCCCCUGACUCUGGGAUAAGCGCUGGAAACGGCGUCUAAUACUGGAUACGAGCUGCGAAGGCAUCUUCAGCAGCUGGAAAGAACUUCGGUCAGGGAUGAGCUCGCGGCCUAUCAGCUUGUUGGUGAGGUAACGGCUCACCAAGGCGUCGACGGGUAGCCGGCCUGAGAGGGUGACCGGCAACACUGGGACUGAGACACGGCCCAGACUCCUACGGGAGGCAGCAGUGGGGAAUAGUGCACAAUGGGCGAAAGCCUGAUGCAGCAACGCCGCGUGAGGGACGACGGCCUUCGGGUUGUAAACCUCUUUUAGCAGGGAAGAAGCGAAAGUGACGGUACCUGCAGAAAAAGCGCCGGCUAACUACGUG
rnacentral:rRNA from 1 species